CUCUUUCAAUUUUUAGGGCAAAAUGGGUCUCACUAUGCAGCUCUGACUAUCUCGGGACUCACUCUGUAGACUGCACUGGCCUCAAAUUCACAGAGACCUGCC
rnacentral:miRNA from 14 species